UACGUAGGGGGCAAGCGUUGUCCGGAUUUAUUGGGCGUAAAGAGCGUGUAGGCGGCCAUACAGGUCCGUUGUGAAAACUGGAGGCUUAACCUCCAGACGUCGAUGGAAACCGUAUGGCUAGAGUCCGGAAGAGGAGAGUGGAAUUCCUGGUGUAGCGGUGAAAUGCGUAGAUAUUGGGAAGAACACCUGAGGCGAAGGCGGGUUGCUGGGCCGACACUGACGCUGAGGCGCGAAAGCCAGGGGAGCGAACGGG
rnacentral:rRNA from 1 species